UACAGAGGUCCCGAGCGUUGUUCGGAUUCACUGGGCGUAAAGGGUGCGAGUAGGUGGUGGAGUAAGUUUGAUGUGAAAUCUCCGGGCUUAACCCGGAAACUGCAUUGAAUACUAUUUUGCUGGAGGUUUGGAGGGGGACUGGGAAUUCUCGGUGUAGCAGUGAAAUGCGUAGAUAUCGAGAGGAACACCAGUGGCGAAGGCGG
rnacentral:rRNA from 1 species